rnacentral:rRNA from 1 species
CCCUUAGAUGUUCUGGGCCGCACGCGCGCUACACUGAUGCAUUCAACAAGCCUAGCCUUGACCGAGAGGUCCGGGUAAUCUUUGAAACUGCAUCGUGAUGGGGCUAGAUUAUUGCAAUUAUUAAUCUUCAACGAGGAAUGCCUAGUAAGCGUGAUUCAUCAAAUCGCGUUGAUUACGUCCCUGCCCUUUGUACACACCGCCCGUCGCUCCUACCGAUUGAAUGUGUUGGUGAGGAGCUCGGAUUGGCAGCAGUUGGUGGUUCGCCACCGGCUAUUGCUGAGGAGUCCUCCAAACCGCCCCAUUUAGAGGAAGGAGAAGUCGUAACA